rnacentral:rRNA from 1 species
AUACGGAGGGUGCAAGCGUUAUUCGGAAUCACUGGGCGUAAAGGACGCGUAGGCGGGUUGGCAAGUCAGAUGUGAAAUCCUACAGCUUAACUGUAGAACUGCAUUUGAAACUGCUAACCUAGAGUAUGGGAGGGGGAGAUGGAAUUAGUGGUGUAGGAGUAAAAUCCGUAGAUAUCACUAGGAAUACCGAAAGCGAAGGCGAUCUCCUGGAACAUAACUGACGCUAAGGCGUGAAAGCGUGGGGAGCAAACAGGAUUAGAUACCCUAGUAGUCC